CAGUCGGUAAAUAAACAGAAGCAAACAUAGAGAGGUCUUGAAACCGCCUCUCAUAUUCCAAUACUGUCAUAUCUCCCUGUGUAAAAGCCAAGAACUCCUGUUCUUUGAUCUUUCAAUGCUGUCGGGAAUAAUACUGGUUCUCAAACUCUGUCCUGAAAUCCCUCCAUCUAAGCGUCUCAGCAGCCCGUCUCUCUUUAACAAUAUCCCACCAUGUCUGGGCUCUGUCCGAUAAUAGCUGAGUA
rnacentral:lncRNA from 1 species